AUGUUCCUACGGGGGGCAGCAGUCGAGAAUCAUUCACAAUGGGGGAAACCCUGAUGGUGCGACGCCGCGUGGGGGAAUGAAGGUCUUCGGAUUGUAAACCCCUGUCAUGUGGGAGCAAAUUAAAAAGAUAGUACCACAAGAGGAAGAGACGGCUAACUCUGUGCCAGCAGCCGCGGUAAUACAGAGGUCUCAAGCGUUGUUCGGAUUCACUGGGCGUAAAGCGUGCGUAGGCUGUUUCGUACGUCGUGUGUGAAAGGCGCGGGCUCAACCCGCGGACGGCACAUGAUACUGCGUGUCUAGGGUAG
rnacentral:rRNA from 1 species